rnacentral:lncRNA from 1 species
CUAGGGGCUUUUCUUUUUCUGCAAUUUUUGGGCAGCGGCUAGAUCUUCUUCACUGCCGUUUAUUUUGUUUUAUUUUCUUUCCCUUUUUUAUUUUCUUUUUCUUCCAUCUUUUAGCUUGGUUUCCUUGUAUAUUUUGGAGAAAAUUUGGCGCAUGAUUAUGAUGAAAUAGCUUGGAGAAGAAGAUGAUUUGAUAUUGAAGAAACCCUCAACUAUUUCUCCAUUAUGAAUAAGCUUUUCUUUCCCUAUUUUCCAUUAUUGUGUUGUAGGAAUUUGACGGUUAUUUGUGAAUAUUUCAUGGGUAACUAAAUAUAUAUGUGAUUGGGGAUUAUUUCAAACUCGAGUUAUGAUUUUCAAUUAAUUUGUGCUUUAUAGUUCUCUUGAUUGACGUAUUUAAUUCCUCGAGUUAAAUGUUUAUUUUGUUCUUCUUGAUUGUUUAGGUGUACAACUAAAUGAUUAAGUUGUUACGAUAAAUGCUAUUUUGAGAUUAGUAGUACGUAAUAGCUAUUGAUUUUAAAACAUAAUAGCAAUCACAUUUCGAUAGAUUAUGAAGAAUUUUCAAUUGAAUGUAUGUGGAUUAACACUUAAGUUAGUAAACUGAGCUUGCGAGUUUACUCUUAAUUCAAUUCAUCUCUUUUGUCGUAAUGCGUUUGUUAAAUUAAAUCUAGAGAGCUUGUUCUAGGUUGUUUAAUGCAUAGGGUCGAGUAAAGAGCUUGUUUUAUUCGACUAACAUGUAAUAAGAGGUUGAGAUAAUUUAGCUUGUAAUUAUUCUCGAAUUGUUAUUAAUCUUGAGAAUGAAAAUCUAUUGUGGUAAUUGACAUGAAAAUCAUUCUUGUGGUGAUGAAAUAUCCCCCAAUCACAUUUUCUCGUAUUCAAUCGAAACCACUUUGUUUAUUUCAAGUUUCAAAUAUUCUCUAUUUCGAAUUUAUCACUUUACUUAAUUAAAUGAACCAACCCCCCCCCCCCCCCAUUUAAUCAAUUUCGUAUAUAAUCGCUAAUUUUACUUUUUAGUACGCAAUUGACAAAAUUGAACCAAUCCUCUGCGAGAAAUGACCCUUACUUACCAUUUUACUAUUUAAGACGACACUUUUAAGUUAAAGUAAGGAAAAGUAAUUGGAACAUGAUUUGCAACGUAUCAUACCACUAAGAAGGCCCAUCUGUGUCUCUUGUUCCUCAAAAUACCAGAUUAGUAAGAUUGACGGAGAGAUUUUCAGAAACUAUAAUUGAUAAGUGUAAAAAAUUUUCAGGUGACUCAAGAGUGCUGCGAGCUCAUUGGUAACAUAAACUACACAUACAUUGAACACCACCUGCGGGUUGUGUUUCUAAUACUUAUGGGGUAGAGAAAUUUAUGUUGAUAAUAAGGAUUAUGUUAGUGCAAAGGAUGUUUAUCAUUUUUAUCACAUGAGUGAGAAAUAGUUUGCAGUGACCUUUUCAUUUGCCUUGAUAUUCUGGAUGCUUUUCCUAUUGCCACUGAUGUAUAAGGGGUUAACUUUUUAAUGUUGGCCGGUCUGUCAAAAAACUUAUAUUCUUCAACAGAUACAUAUAUACCAUUAUUCUAAUCUCUUUGCAUUAGGUUAUGUGGGUUCCCGAUAGUUUUGAAAUUGGCAUGGUAGCUGAGAAGCUUGGAAAGUCACGAAAAUAUCAAGCAGUUUUGUGUAUUGGAGCUUUGGUAUGCUUUUCUUUCACAAGUUCCAAAUGUGCUGAUGUUUUAUAUUCUUUUAUUUUGCACGUCUCCCGCAAUUUGCAUUCAUAGUUAUUGUUUGCAUGUUCUGCCAUAGCUUAAGGUCAUCAUUUUUUUGCUUCAAUUACC